rnacentral:rRNA from 1 species
CAAGCUGUGAUGGGGAGGGAAAUAAUAGUACCGAAGUUCCUGAUGUCACACUGCCGAGAAAAGCUUCUAGUGAGAAAACAGCGGCCCGUACCGCAAACCGACACAGGUAGUCGAGGAGAGAAUCCUAAGGUGAGCGAGAGAACUCUCGUUAAGGAACUCGGCAAAAUGACCCCGUAACUUCGGGAGAAGGGGUGCUGAUCAUACGAUCAGCCGCAGUGAAUAGGCCCAAGCGACUGUUUAUCAAAAACACAGGUCUCUGCAAAAUCGUAAGAUGAAGUAUAGGGGCUGACGCCUGCCCGGUGCUGGAAGGUUAAGAGGAGUGCUUAGCGCAAGCGAAGGUACGAAUUGAAGCCCCAGUAAACGGCGGCCGUAACUAUAACGGUCCUAAGGUAGCGAAAUUCCUUGUCGGGUAAGUUCCGACCCGCACGAAAGGCGUAACGAUUUGGGCACUGUCUCAACGAGAGACUCGGUGAAAUUUUAGUACCUGUGAAGAUGCAGGUUACCCGCGACAGGACGGAAAGACCCCAUGGAGCUUUACUGUAGUUUGAUAUUGAGUGUCUGUACCGCAUGUACAGGAUAGGUAGGAGCCGUAGAAAUCGGAACGCUAGUUUCGAUGGAGGCGCUGGUGGGAUACUACCCCUGCGUUAUGGCCACUCUAACCCGCACCACUAAUCGUGGUGGGAGACAGUGUCAGAUGGGCAGUUUGACUGGGGCGGUCGCCUCCUAAA